rnacentral:tRNA from 1 species
GAUACGGUGGUCUAGCGGUUAGAACGCUGGCCUUGUAAUCCUGGGGUCUCGGGUUCGAUACCCGGCGGUGCUC